UGCAAUAUCUCUGUAGGAUGAAGGUAAAUCCAAUGGCUUAGGUCUCUGUAUCCUCAGUGGACUGAAGAAAUGAGAUGAGAUCAUAAACCACACAGAAAAUCCUGAAGGUACUGGAGCAGAGUGGGAUAGAAUAGAACAAGAUCUUCCAGACCCCAGAAGAAAUCUCUAGUAAUUAAAAUACUUUAUGAAGUACAGAAAAUAGGGCAGGACUUCUCUUGAAAAGGCCAGCUAGUCCCAGAGGGAAAAUACAAAGUCCAUGAUAUGCUUUGUGUGAAGUCUGAUAGAAGUUUCCAGAAUCAGCAUGUUUACACUACAGUAGUUCCUGGGAUGUAAAUCAGGAUUGAGGCCCCAUUGUGGUAGAUACUCCACAGACUCAUAUCAUCUGAACACAUGGACUCUGCUCCAAAUAGAUCGUGAAUCAUCAGCCCCUGAAGAACAAAGAAAGCAGCAUUGGAGUGUUGGGAAAUCCAGACUGAAAGAGGUUCAGCUAGUCAGACUACUGGAAUAUGUGUUCGCACACGACGGCGCAGGGAGGAAGACCUGUGAAGAGAAGAACAAAGUUGUGAGCUUACCUGUUUGGAAGUCCCAUCCACAGGAGCCUGCUGUCACUGCCUGCAUCUGGUGCUUCAUCCUGUCAUGUCAGUGGAUGUCUAUAACCAAGCUGCAAGAUAUGUUAAAGAGCCAUCUCUCCUCUGAUUACCUGUCCUGUCUGGGUCAGGGCUUUAAGGUUUUUACAGCUGUAGCUGGGUUUG